AUGCAGAGCCCCGAGCCGGGCCCCAGCUCCCAGGCCUGGGCGGGGAAGUCCUUUCUGCCUGGCUCGCUGCCAUGCCCUAGACGUUUCUCUGGCGUGGAGGGUCUUUGGGUUGGAUCUAAGCCCUGCAGCUGCCAGAUUCUAAGCCUCAUCCUUGCAUGCCUUGCCUCUACUCCCUCCCACCCCACCCCAAAACCCCAGUACCUCUGGGGGUUGCUGGGACAGACAGAAGAACUGAAGAAACUUCCAGGGCACUUACAGCGGCGUCUGCUUAGCAUCCGGCCUCCGAGGGCAGGCGACGUUCUCUCUGAGUCUGGGAGUCUCCUCUUAGAGCAAAGGUCUCAGCCGGUUCAGAGGAAAAAAGCUUUGGAUCAGAGCAGCUUCUUGAGGCCAAGCGACUUGCUUCUGUUUUCCUCCUCUCCCUCUCAUGCACAGACUUGGGAAAGUUGCAAAAGAGGCCAAGCCGCCACAGCAGUUCUGGUGAUGGCUCCUGCUGUUUCCCUGGUCUCAAACCCACAAGCGCUCCCCCCACGGGUCAAGGAACCUGCCAGCAGGGCGCCAACGCAGGGAAGCAGACACCGGGCCGCAUCUGGGCAGGUAGACUGGCAGAGGCCCUGGCCCCAGCAGCCUCCGGGAGAGGCCAGGAAUCCACAACGGAAGUGCAGGGACACGAUGCCCGCGGGCAAGACUCUGACCAGAGCCGACAGGAGGAAGCAGAAACCCGUGGAGAGUUCACACUCGCCUGCCACCCCACCACCUGUCACGGGACCGUUCUCAGCUGCGCCCCGUCCACAGGGCCUUGCUGGCGAUGUCCUGGGGAACCGAGCCGCAGCUGUGCGCGCUGGAAGUGUGUAGUCGGCUUGGAAAGUCACCUUUUUAUAUUUAUUUCCCUUCUCUCUCUCUCACUUCCCUUUUCCCACUCUUGCUUCCUUCGCAUUGAACUUCCCAAUAAAAUGUUAAAUAUAAGCUUCUGACUCCAGAAUUAAAAAAAAAAAUUCCCUGUCAGGGAACUUGGAGCAGCAUCGGGCUCCGUAAACGUGCCGCGUGCGCGAAGGCGCUACAGGGUAGAGCUCCGGUCACACGGAGGGAAAGGAGGGCCGAAGGGUGCGCUGGAAAAGGUCGGAGAUUUGCAAACCGACUGCUUGGAAAGGUCGGCAAGGGGGUUGUGUCCAUAGCUCAGAGCCACGCGGAGGCACCUCACCUCCUAGGUGAAGGGGAGAGAGGCAGGAGAGACGGGAGGGCUCAGGAGGAACUGGAAACCCGCUCACAUGUGAGAAGCAGGAGAAGAGAAAGAUCCCAGCGCGGGCGUGUGGACGCAGAGAUGACCGGUGUCCGGGAAACGCCCUCACGCGUCCGGCCGCCGCCACGCGGCUUGUGCAGCCCGGCAGACACGGCGUGGCCGCGGAUUCCCGCCGAGCCACAGGGUAGAAUGGUGAGCCGGGCAGGGUUCCCGCCCUCACGGAGCUCAGGCUGAAUAGCUGGAGAGGGAACGUCCCGCGGGCGCCUGAGCCUCUUUCAGAUCUGGUGUGUGAAGAUGCCCGGCGGGACCGGCCACUCGCCCUGUCCGUGGCACGCGAAGAGUGACUCUGAGGUCCUGGGGCCUGUGGGAACCACAAGACAGAAGGGAUCUCCGUUCCUGAGUUGUGCGACUCUUUACCUGGACGGUUCGUGGGAGAAAGAACCUUUUCUUGCGUCAAGACACUGCGAUUUGGGGGUUUAUCUGUCAAGCCCCAACCUGGCGAGUGUUGAAAAAGCAAGAGGCAGCCGUUGGAGCUGGGGAAUAGAAGCGUCUUCCGGGCCUGCCGCGUGGCCUCGCGUGUCUCUCGCACACCCCAGGUUUGUGGUCUGGGAGUGAGUUCUCACCUGUCUCCUCUCCCCUUGCCGUCCUCAGGCGCAAGCUCUCCUGGAUGGGCUCCCCAGCCAAGGUGGCUGAGCCGUGUGCUCCCACUUUGCUCAGAGAAGGGGUCAGGCUUCACAGUCCCGAGCUCUCUGACUCUCACGGCGCGACAGUCAUCUGGUCGCCCUGCUACAGCGGGAUGCCCGUGCCAGAGCUGCUCGGCUGAGAACAACAGAAGCAGCGGGAAGAGAGGGACCACCGGACCUUGGGACGGACAGAGCAGGGUAGCCGGGGCCGUCUGGGCACGGGGGACUCGGAAGCUAUCUCUCUGUGUGCCUUCCAGGCCCCCAGCACCCGUCGCCCCUGUGGGGCCCGCUCAACAUUCAGAUUCCCAGAGAGAGAGUUUGGUGGGUGUGACUGAGGCCUGUGUGCUUCCCUGUAAUGUUGGUGCUGAUGACAGGACUGCCAGCCCGCCAGGCUCACGUAGAGCAGGAGAGGGGGUGAUGCCCAGCCCAGACAUAGCAGGUUCCCAGGAAUCCUCUUAGCAGGGUCUUAUUUCCACAGAGGAGUGGACAGGAGGAAGCUGUCUGGAGCCUCUUGGGGCCUCUUGGGAUCAGCAACCAUUGACUUGUCAGCAACAAAUCCAUUUUUAUUUUAAAAGGUAAAUGUUAUUGGGGGGACUGACCAAAAUCUACCUGCCAUCCUUGCCCUGGCGACAUGCUGAACUGACAGAUACCUGGCUUGGGGGAAGGGGUAUAAAUUAGAAGAAGGGGGGACGCCUGGGUGAAGCAUCUGCCUUCGGCUCAGGUCAUGAUUCCAGGAUCGAGUUCUGCAUCAGGGUCCUUGCUCCACGGGGAGCCUGCUUCUCCCUCUGCCUGCCGCUCCCCUGUUUGUGCGUGCUCUCUCUUUCUGGCUAAUAAAUAAAUAAA
rnacentral:lncRNA from 1 species